UCCCGUGUAGCUCAAAUGGUAGAGCAGCGGUGCGCAUGGUUAAGACAGCAGGUUGUCGGUUCGAACCCGACCACGGGAG
rnacentral:tRNA from 1 species